rnacentral:rRNA from 1 species
AUUAAACGCUGGCGGCAGGCCUAACACAUGCAAGUCGAGCGAGCGGCGGACGGGUGAGUAAUGUCUGGGAAACUGCCUGAUGGAGGGGGAUAACUACUGGAAACGGUAGGUAAUACCGCAUACCAUCAGAUGUGCCCAGAUGGGGUUAGCGAGUAGGUGGGGUAACGGCUCACCUAGGCGUCGGUCCCUAGCUGGUCGGAGAGGAUGACCAGCCACACUGGAACCGAGACAGUGUCAAGACUCCUACGGGAGGCAGCGGUGGGGCAUAUUGCACAAUGGGCGCAAGCCUGAUGCAGCCAUGCCGCUUGUGUGAAGAAGGCCUUGGGGUUGUAAAGCACUUUCAGCGGGGAGGCGUUACCCGCAGAAGAAGCACCGGCUAACUCCGUGCCAGCAGCCGCGGUAAUUC